AGCGAACGCUGGCGGCAGGCCUAACACAUGCAAGUCGAACGAACCUUUCGGGGUUAGUGGCGGACGGGUGAGUAACACGUGGGAACGUGCCUUUAGGUUCGGAAUCACUCAGGGAAACUUGUGCUAAUACCGCAUGUGCCCUUCGGGGGAAAGAUUUAUCGCCUUUAGAGCGGCCCGCGUCUGAUUCGCUAGUUGGUUGAGGUAAUGGCUCACCAAGGCGACGAUCAGUAGCUGGUCUGAGAGGAUGAUCAGCCACAUUGGGACUGAGACACGGCCCAAACUCCUACGGUAGGCAGCAGUGGGGAAUCUUGCGCAAUGGGCGAAAGCCUGACGCAGCCAUGCCGCGUGAAUGAUGAAGGUCUUAGGAUUGUAAAAUUCUUUCACCGGGGACGAUAAUGACGGUACCCGGAGAAGAAGCCCCGGCUAACUUCGUG
rnacentral:rRNA from 1 species